rnacentral:rRNA from 1 species
AUUGAACGCUGGCGGCAUGCCUUACACAUGCAAGUCGAACGGCAGCACGGGGCAACCUGGUGGCGAGUGGCGAACGGGUGAGUAAUGCAUCGGAACGUACCUUUCAGUGGGGGAUAACGUAGCGAAAGUUACGCUAAUACCGCAUAUUCUGUGAGCAGGAAAGCAGGGGAUCGCAAGACCUUGCGCUGAUUGAGCGGCCGAUGUCAGAUUAGCUAGUUGGUGAGGUAAAGGCUCACCAAGGCGACGAUCUGUAGCGGGUGUGAGAGGAUGAUCCGCCACACUGGAACUGAGACACGGUCCAGACUCCUACGGGAGGCAGCAGUGAGGAAUUUUGGACAAUGGGGGCAACCCUGAUCCAGCCAUGCCGCGUGAGUGAAGAAGGCCUUCGGGUUGUAAAGCUCUUUCGGCCGGGAAGAAAUCGCACGGGCUAAUACCCUGUGUGGAUGACGGUACCGGAAUAAGAAGCACCGGCUAACUACGUACCAGCAGCCGCAGUAACAC